AAUGAUGACUUAAAUUGUAAAUUUUGGACACAUGAAAGAGCUGCAUCGUUGGAAUGAAAGAUCCAAUGACGUCCAGAUAGGUAGAGUUACGAAGAGGUGAAUGUUUUUUUUUUUUUACUUUUUUCAAAAACUGUAGCCAUUGAUUAUUCUUUGAAGUGAAUUGUUUUUUUCAUAUCUCUUCUUUUUAUUUAUUUUUUUUGGAGGGCCUCCAAACAACUAACGAGAUCCUCAAUGCUUAAGUCUAAUCUUAUAGUUUGGCUCAGCUCAAGGAGGCAAUACUUUUAGCCAUGCCAUUUGUACAACUGCAGGCCAAUUAUUGAAAGUUUGAAACAGCACUAUAAGACAUCAAAAUAUGUUAUAUUGCGUGGUUAAGAUUGGGAUACGUCUUGUCUUAUCGUAUCAACAUAAUCAAUAAUCAGGCUGUUGAUUUUACAUGUGUAUCGUUUCUGUGUCAAUGAGUUAUGUAAUAUAGCCAGUAUAUGCAUCACGCAUGUAAGAUUGCGGUAACACUCUGUUCUGAUUUUACCCAAAAUGAAAUCAAGGUUUCUUGCAUAAUUCAAACUAGACUGACUAAUUGUAUGCAUAUUUUUCAGUCUAAAAAUGUUACCUAAUCAAGGUUUGUCUUACAAAAGAAUUUUUCUUAUCAGUUUAAUAUAAUAUUUGCCCUGUUUUAUACUUACUAGUUGCACACUAUGUACUUCACUUCUCUCAGAGUUUGAUCAGUGAUCAAUAAAUUUUGAUUAAGUUUCCGGUGUAAAAAAUUAUGAUUCAUUUCAAAUAAAGUGAUUGCUAGUCUACAUCCUAACAUUCUUUGAAUUUUUAGUGUGGACCUUUAGAAUUAAAAUAAUUUUAGUGUCUAAAUCAAAAGAGGUGAUAAGACUUGAUCCAAACUCAAUUUUGAUAGUUUGCCUCCUUCUAAAUGAGGAGCUAUUAAAUUGUGUAAUUUCAAGUCCAAGGCAGCUGCAAUUUUCCCUCAAAAACUACCUAUAUAUUUGUAAAUUAAAAGGGAGUCAGGCAAAGGGGUUCUAACAGUGGAAAUUAAGUCAUUCAGAAUG
rnacentral:lncRNA from 1 species